rnacentral:rRNA from 1 species
UACGUAGGGUGCGAGCGUUAAUCGGAAUUACUGGGCGUAAAGCGUGCGCAGGCGGUUCGUUGUGUCGGCGGUGAAAGCCCCGGGCUUAACCUGGGAAUGGCCGUUGAAACUGGCGAACUGGAGUGUGGCAGAGGGGGUGGAAUUCCGCGUGUAGCAGUGAAAUGCGUAGAUUUGCGGAGGAACACCGAUGGCGAAGGCAAUCCCCUGGACCUGUACUGACGCUCAUGCACGAAAGCGUGGGGAGCAAACAGG